GCUUAGCUUUGAUAGCAGCGUAAAUCCUUUUGCACUCAGGUCCAAGAAGAUCAGAACGGAAUAGCGGAAAAAGCU
rnacentral:misc_RNA from 1 species